rnacentral:misc_RNA from 1 species
ACAGUGCUGCACCCAAGAGUAUACUGAAGAAGGCAUUUGAAAUGCCAAGACUAGUAGCUAUACGAGGCAACCAAUAAGGGGAAAAAUCAUAAAGAAGCCAAUCGGGACGUGAAGUUUCAAGGAAAACGGUGAUAGGAUCUUUGAGACCAUCGUAGGCUUUCUUAAGGUAUUGGACUUUAUCGUAAGGGACGUCGGUGGUGGACUCUGCGUCUUCCGGGAGGCCAUCGACUUGAGGCAGUGGAAGCUUAACGAAAUUGAUGAGAGGGGCUAAGUUUGGGGGAAGUUUUGGAAGACGAUGGAUGUUUCGAGGAGUGGAGAUGAAG